AUUGAACGCUGGCGGCAUGCCUUACACAUGCAAGUCGAACGGCAGCACGGGAGCAAUCCUGGUGGCGAGUGGCGAACGGGUGAGUAAUAUAUCGGAACGUGCCCAGUCGUGGGGGAUAACGUAGCGAAAGCUACGCUAAUACCGCAUACGAUCUAUGGAUGAAAGCGGGGGAUCGCAAGACCUCGCGCGAUUGGAGCGGCCGAUAUCAGAUUAGGUAGUUGGUGAGGUAAAGGCUCACCAAGCCGACGAUCUGUAGCUGGUCUGAGAGGACGACCAGCCACACUGGGACUGAGACACGGCCCAGACUCCUACGGGAGGCAGCAGUGGGGAAUUUUUGGGACAAUGGGCGAAAGCCUGAUCCAGCAAUGCCGCGUGAGUGAUGAAGGCCUUAGGGUGUAAAGCUCUUUUACCCGAGAUGAUAAUGACAGUAUCGGGAGAUAAGCUACCGGCUAACUCCGUGCCAGCAGCCGACGG
rnacentral:rRNA from 1 species